GGGGGCGCACUGGCUUCGACGGGAGUGGACAGCGUUCGCUUGAGACGAGCCGAGUUUGCUGGAGACUCGUAAAACGCCGGCACUUAAAGAGACAAGCCAACGAUAGAGAGAUGGCUCUGGCCGCUUAAACAAAAGCAGCCCAUCGGUCCCGACAGCCUGCGGUCGGGGACGCCGGUGUCAUGAAGCAGGCUCACCUCAAAGGAACCUGGCUCCGGGGUCCGAGAGGGACACCCAAAAGGGCUAGCCCGCCGGCAGGCGCACCGGUCCUCCGGCGAGGCGAAACUUUACCGGAAGCUACGCUCGUAGAAUCUCACGAACGACGCACUUGCGGACGCGGGUUCGAUUCCCGCCGCCUCCACUA
rnacentral:tmRNA from 1 species